CUCGUAAGAGCAAAGCAGGGGACCUUCGGGCCUUGCGCUACCGGAUAUGCCCAGGUGGGAUUAGCUAGUUGGUGAGGUAAGGGCUCACCAAGGGCGAACGAUCCCUAGCUAGGUCUGAGAGGAUGAUCAGCCACACUGGAACUGAGACACGGUCCAGACUCCUACGGGAGGCAGCAGGUGGGGAAUAUUGCACAAUGGGCGCAAGCCUGAUGCAGCCAUGCCGCGUGUAUGAAGAAGGCCUCGG
rnacentral:rRNA from 1 species